rnacentral:rRNA from 1 species
AUGGGGAUGGAUCAGGCGGAGGAGGGGCGGAGGAUGGCGAGCCUGCAGGCGGCGCGGAGCGCACUGCGGGCGGGGGUGGAGCGGUCGCGGGCGCUGAGCCACGCGCUGGCGCGGUCGGGGGCCAGGGUCGGGGAGAUCCAGGCGCGGCUGGCGGCCACGGAGGCCGGGGUGCGCCCGAUCCGCGCGCCGCGGGACGCGCUCGAGGGGGCCGGCCCCAACAUCGACCGCGCCGUGGGGCCCGCCGCCGCCGUCCUCAAGGUGUUCGACGCCGUGCACGGCCUCGAGCCGCCGCUCCUCGCCGGGGCCGCCGCCAGGGAGGACCUCCCGGGCUACCUCGCCCUCGUCGCCCGCCUCGAGGAGGCGCUCCGCUUCCUCGCCGACAACUGCGGCCUCGCCGUCGACUGGCUCUCCGACAUCGUCGACUACCUCGGCAAGCGCAGCCUCGCCGACCCGCGCUUCGUGGCCGGCCUCGCCGAGGCGCUCUCCGGGCUCAAGGGCGUCCCCGCCGCCGGCCUCGACGCCGGGCUCCUCACCGCCGCCCUCGACGUGCUCGAGGCCGAGUUCUGCCGCCUCCUCGCGGAGCACUCUGCUCCGCUCGCUAUGCAGGAGGACGCGGACAAGUCCAAGGCUGCCGCCUCCAUCGCGCCGCCCAGGAUCCCCGCCGCCGCCGUGCAGAAGCUCGGCCUCACCCUUGACCGCCUUGCCGCUAAUGGGCGGCUCAGCUACUGCGUCGCCGCGUAUGCCGACGCUCGUGGGGACACGGUGAGCGCCAGCCUCCACGCGCUCGGCCUGGAUUACCUGCAGGACCAGACGCAGGAUGCUCAGGCGCUGAGCCCGAGCGUCGAGCUCUGGGGCCGGCAUUUGGAGUUCGCGGUGCGCCACCUAUUAGAAGCUGAGCGGAAGCUCUGUGUUGCUGUCUUCGAGCGCCGGCCAGAAGCCGCGGCCGCUUGCUUCGCGGACAUUGCGGCGCGCGCCGGAAUUCUUGAUUUCCUCAAGUUUGGCCGCGCCGUGGCUGAUGCCAAGAAGGACCCCAUCAAGCUCCUGAGGCUGCUUGAUGUGUUUGAUUCCCUCAGUAAGCUCAGAUUGGACUUCAACCGGUUGUUUGGUGGAAAGGCAUGCCUGGAGAUCCAAAGCAGGACCAGAGAGCUUGUGAAGAGGGUGGUGGAUGGUUCUGUUGAGAUUUUUGAGGAGUUGCUGGUGCAGGUGGAGCUGCAGCGCAAAAUGCCACCCCCAUCUGACGGUGGAGUGCCAGGCCUGGUUACCUUCGUCCCCAAGUACUGCAACCAGCUCCUUGGGGAGCAAUAUCGGUCUGUGCUCACACAAGUGCUUACCAUCCACCGCAGCUGGCGCAAGGAGGCGUUCAAUGACAAGAUGCUCGUCGACGCAGUGCACAAUAUUGUCAAGGCCCUGGAGGCCAACUUCGACACAUGGGCAAAGGCGUAUGAGGAUAAGACGCUGUCAUCUCUCUUCAUGAUGAACACCCACUCGCACUUCUUCAAGCACCUGAAGAGUACCAAGAUGGGGGAGAUCUUAGGCGAUGAAUGGCUCCGGGAGCAUGAGCAGUACAAGGACUACUACUCAGCCCUGUUUCUAAGGGAGAGCUGGGGAACGCUUGCGCCCCUGCUGAGCAGGGAGGGUUUGAUCUUGUUCUCCAAGGGUCAGGCUACAGCAAGGGACUUGGUGAAGCAGCGGCUCAAAUCGUUCAACGCCAGCUUUGAUGAGAUGUACCAGAAGCAGUCUGCGUGGAUCAUACCAGACAAGGAUCUGCAGCAGAGGGUGUGCCACCUUGUGGUGCAGGCUAUAGUGCCUGUUUACCGUAGCUUCAUGCAGAACUACGGGCCGCUUGUUGAGCAGGACAUCAGCGCGAGCAAGUACGUCAAGUACAGCGCUGAAGGCCUUGAUAAGAUGCUUAGCACCCUCUUCAUGCCGAAGCUUAGGACGAGGAGGACUGCAAGCAUGCAGAUCAGAAGCUCAAAUGGCAAGAUUGCCAGUGCAGUGACAGGGCUGCAACGGAGUGCUUCAACAUUGCAAUAG